rnacentral:rRNA from 1 species
GACGAACGCUGGCGGCGUGCUUAACACAUGCAAGUCGAACGGAAAGGCCCUGCUUUUGUGGGGUGCUCGAGUGGCGAACGGGUGAGUAACACGUGAGUAACCUGCCCUUGACUUUGGGAUAACUUCAGGAAACUGGGGCUAAUACCGGAUAGGAGCUCCUGCUGCAUGGUGGGGGUUGGAAAGUUUCGGCGGUUGGGGAUGGACUCGCGGCUUAUCAGCUUGUUGGUGGGGUAGUGGCUUACCAAGGCUUUGACGGGUAGCCGGCCUGAGAGGGUGACCGGCCACAUUGGGACUGAGAUACGGCCCAGACUCCUACGGGAGGCAGCAGUGGGGAAUAUUGUACAAUGGGCGGAAGCCUGAUGCAGCAACGCCGCGUGCGGGAUGACGGCCUUCGGGUUGUAAACCGCUUUCGCCUGUGACGAAGCGUGAGUGACGGUAAUGGGUAAAGAAGCACCGGCUAACUACGUGCCAGCAGCCGCGGUGAUACGUAGGGUGCGAGCGUUGUCCGGAUUUAUUGGGCGUAAAGGGCUCGUAGGUGGUUGAUCGCGUCGGAAGUGUAAUCUUGGGGCUUAACCCUGAGCGUGCUUUCGAUACGGGUUGACUUGAGGAAGGUAGGGGAGAAUGGAAUUCCUGGUGGAGCGGUGGAAUGCGCAGAUAUCAGGAGGAACACCAGUGGCGAAGGCGGUUCUCUGGGCCUUUCCUGACGCUGAGGAGCGAAAGCGUGGGGAGCGAACAGGCUUAGAUACCCUGGUAGUCCACGCUGUAAACGGUGGGUACUAGGUGUGGGGUCCAUUCCACGGGUUCCGUGCCGUAGCUAACGCUUUAAGUACCCCGCCUGGGGAGUACGGCCGCAAGGCUAAAACUCAAAGGAAUUGACGGGGCCCCGCACAAGCGGCGGAGCAUGCGGAUUAAUUCGAUGCAACGCGUAGAACCUUACCUGGGUUUGACAUGGAUCGGGAGUGCUCAGAGAUGGGUGUGCCUCUUUUGGGGUCGGUUCACAGGUGGUGCAUGGCUGUCGUCAGCUCGUGUCGUGAGAUGUUGGGUUAAGUCCCGCAACGAGCGCAACCCUUGUUCACUGUUGCCAGCACGUUAUGGUGGGGACUCAGUGGAGACCGCCGGGGUCAACUCGGAGGAAGGUGGGGAUGACGUCAAGUCAUCAUGCCCCUUAUGUCCAGGGCUUCACGCAUGCUACAAUGGCUGGUACAGAGAGUGGCGAGCCUGUGAGGGUGAGCGAAUCUCGGAAAGCCGGUCUCAGUUCGGAUUGUGGUCUGCAACUCGACCUCAUGAAGUCGGAGUCGCUAGUAAUCGCAGAUCAGCAACGCUGCGGUGAAUACGUUCCCGGGGCU